rnacentral:rRNA from 1 species
UACGGGGGGAGCAAGCGUUGUUCGGAUUUACUGGGCGUAAAGAGCGCGCAGGCGGUCGUUCAAGUCGCGUGUGAAAGCCCCCGGCUCAACUGGGGAGGGUCACGCGAUACUGAUCGACUGGAAGGCAGGAGAGGGUAGUGGAAUUCCCGGUGUAGUGGUGAAAUGCGUAGAUAUCGGGAGGAACACCAGUGGCGAAGGCGACUACCUGGCCUGUUCUUGACGCUGAGGCGCGAAAGCUAGGGAAGCAAACGGG